GAAGUUUUCAGAGAUGAGAAUGUGCCUUCGGGAACCGUGAGACAGGUGCUGCAUGGCUGUCGUCAGCUCGUGUUGUGAAAUGUUGGGUUAAGUCCCGCAACGAGCGCAACCCUUAUCCUUUUUUGCCAGCGGUCCGGCCGGGAACUCAAAGGAGACUGCCAGUGAUAAACUGGAGGAAGGUGGGGAUGACGUCAAGUCAUCAUGGCCCUUACGACCAGGGCUACACACGUGCUACAAUGGCGCAUACAAAGAGAAGCGACCUCGCGAGAGCAAGCGGACCUCAUAAAGUGCGUCGUAGUCCGGAUUGGAGUCUGCAACUCGACUCCAUGAAGUCGGAAUCGCUAGUAAUCGUGGAUCAGAAUGCCACGGUGAAUACGUUCCCGGGCCUUGUACACACCGCCCGUCACACCAUGGGAGUGGGUUGCAAAAGAAGUAGGUAGCUUAACCUUCGGGAGGGCGCUUACCACUUUGUGAUUCAUGACUGGGGUGAAGUCGUAACAAGGUAACCGUAGGGGAACCUGCGGUUGGAUCACCUCCUUA
rnacentral:rRNA from 1 species